rnacentral:rRNA from 1 species
AACGAACGCUGGCGGCAGGCUUAACACAUGCAAGUCGAACGGGUGUAGCAAUACAUCAGUGGCAGACGGGUGAGUAACACGUGGGAACCUUCCUAGGGGUACGGAACAACUCAGGGAAACUUGAGCUAAUACCGUAUACGUCCGUGAGGAGAAAGAUUUAUCGCCCUUAGACGGGCCCGCGUCGGAUUAGGUAGUUGGUGGGGUAACGGCCUACCAAGCCUACGAUCCGUAGCUGAUCUUAGAGGAUGAUCAGCCACACUGGGACUGAGACACGGCCCAGACUCCUACGGGAGGCAGCAGUGGGGAAUCUUGGACAAUGGGCGCAAGCCUGAUCCAGCCAUGCCGCGUGAGUGAAGAAGGCCUUAGGGUUGUAAAGCUCUUUUACCAGGGACGAUAAUGACGGUACCUGGAGAAUAAGCCCCGGCAAACUUCGUGCCAGCCGCCGCGGUAAUAC